UUUGUCUCCCAAACAAAUGCAGGGAGGGGAAUAUAUGCAACAGUCAUCUGGGAAGUUGAAUUGGUAGAAUUGUUGUUGAGUUAUUCUUCAGUUUUCACUGGAUUGCUUGUUUUAGCUUCUCAGUUAACUGUUUUCCAUGUAAAUACAGAUUAAUUUGAGGUAACUUGGGAAAAGCUCCAGUAUGACCCAAUCUCUAUAUGACUGGGCAGGAAAUGUAUCAUGUCUUUGUGUUUGGCACUAUGAGAUCAUGCCAAGAAUUUCUGUCAACUUUGGGUGUUCAUACUUCAAGCAGGAUGUUAGAGUCAAAGAGACUUCAGAGAAGAGCUCUAAGAAUGAAUAAAGGCUGAAAAUAGCUCCUGAGGGAGAAAUUCUAAGAACUCAAUAUGUUAAAUGUAAUCAAAGAGAAAGGAGGGGAGUGACUUAAUUGCAGUGUUUAAGCCUGCGCCUUGUUAACAGAAAUUCUGUGAUGAAGCAGAAAAUGAUGGGAUAUCAAGAUCCUGUGGCUAAAAUAUGAGCCAGACACAUUUGCAGUAGAAAUAAGAACUGCAUCUUCAGCAAGGGGGUAAUUUAUUGCACAUUAUGGUAGGAUAUUCAUCAAAGGAAAACUUUAAUUCAACUAGAUAUUCUUCCUUUAAGAUGUACCUAAGUAAAACUUAAUUGAGGGCAUGUGUCCAUGUGCUAUACAAGUCACAGCAGAUGAUCAAAGUAUUUUUUUCUGUAUCUAAAUACUUGCAACUACAUAAAAAGACAAAUCAUAAAAUAUGGUUAGCCCAGGAGACUGUUGAAAUUAGAACAGAACUGAUGGAUAAAUGAAGACUUUUAAAUGCCUGAAAUGCCUGGAAACAAUGAAUCACACAAUAGUUAGAGUUGGAAGAGACGUCUGGAAAUCAUAGAGUCCAACACUCAAAAUGAAGAACUCUAAAACAAAAAUUUGUUUUAACUGUACUGAAGGUUGAAAAGUUGGGUUAAUGAGCAAUUCUUUAGCAAUGCAAAAAUGUCAUUACACUCAAUUUCUGCAUUAGGAGGUCUCGGCCAUAUACUAAAUUAAUGUGCCAGUUGCUAAAAUUCCUUACAAGUUUUCAUGAAAGUACUGUGGAAAUUAAAGUGGUUGAAGUUCAGAAUCUGAAAGAAAGGUGAAUUUUUUUUUUUUAAUCCUGCUGUCAUUGAGUAGGUUUCAUAGAAGAGAACGCUUGGGCUGCUAUAGAAAACUGCUGAAUACAACAGGGUGGUAACAGAACAUACUGUGUGUGUGUGGGAAUUAUUGGAGGGUUUGCAAGGAGAGAUUUGUAGAUCCUGCAGAGAUUUGGGGGAAAUCUGUGUUAUAAUGCAUUAUCUCCUGUGGUGAAGAGCCAGCAGGAAUUUUCUGAGGUUUUUCCUGUGCUCAGUUUUACAUGCCUUUAGCAGUCAAUGCUUUCAGGCUUAGUGGAAUUGUAGUCAGCUGUGCUGGUUUUGCUGGGGAUAGAGUUAAUUUUCUUCCUAGUAGCUGGAAUGGGGCUGUGCUUUGGAUUUGUGCUGGAAAUGGUGUUGAUAAUAAAGGGAUGUUUUGGUUAGCACUAAGUAGUGCUUGCACAAAGCCAAGACCUUUUCUGCUCCUCACCCCACCAGUGAGGGGGCUGGGGAUGCAUAAGGAGUUGCAAGGGUCAGAGUGGGAUAGCUGAUCCCAGUGACCCUGGGAAUAUUCCAGACUGAGUGGUGGUGUGCUCGGCAUGAAGCUGGGGAAGCAGAAAAGGGGACAUUUGGAGUGAUGGCACUUAUUUCCCCAAGUCGUUUUUAGGUGUGAUGGGUCCAGGCUUUCCUGGGGUUGUCUGAACACCUGCCUGCCCAUGGGAAGUGGGGAACAAAUUCCAUGUUUGGUUUUGCUUUCAUGCACAGCUUUUACUUCACCCGUUAAACUGGCUUUAUCUCAGCCCACAAGUUUUCACACUUUUCUGAUUCUCUCCCUCUUUUCACAGUGGGGGAGUGUGGGGCUGGAUUGAGCCCCCUCGCUGGGGGUUAAACUGUGACAGCAGCAUGAGGAGAAAUAAAAGAAUUGAACAUCAAAAUAGCAAACCCUCCCUUUGACACAGUUUGACAGGAUGAGCAAAAGUCAAGCUGAAGCACAAGUCAAGUAAGAUAUGCCUGUCUUGUAUAAACUCUUCAGCUUUAUGGAGAGCAUGUCAGGAAUCAGCCUUCGAUAUGAUGCGAGAUCGUCAAAAUAAAUGGAGAGGGCCAAGCUAAGAGCACAUCACUCAGUGAAACCAGACUUUUUUCUUAAAUCCCAGAGGAUACUGAAGCAAUGACCAGGGGAUUGAUUAGGGAGCGGGGUUUGGUGAACCAAAUCAUGUAUAUGAUGAGGACCAGCUGGUUAUAAAACUGCGGCAAAUUACAGCAGGAAAAGUCUGCAGCUGGAAGGAUUUUUGAGAGUCUGAAGAUCUCUUGUCUGGACUUGGGAAAUAACUUUGGUUCUUGGAUUCCUUCUGUUGACCCGCGAGAAUUAGUGUAGAGGCCAGAUUGAAAAUAUGCCUUCGUGACAAAGUCUCUACAAAGCUGAUCCCAUCUUGGCUUUAAGGUAAAUGAAAUAAACCUCUUCUAACUUUUCUUCUCAUCAUGGUUGUUAUUCAGCUUGGAAGAAGUGUGAGACUAUCAUGUACUCAGAAUUUAAAAAAAAGUAUUUUAAGGAGUUAAGUUGCAAAACUUAAAAUUUAGUCAAAAUAAAGUGUAAGCAUAAGCCAGUAAUUUGAGUAUGGCUUCAGUAAUUAAAAGAAGUGACAGACAGUGGCAUGAAUGCUUAUGUGUCUUACAUACUGCCUUGGUAACUGUCUGGUUUUGUCUGCUAAUUGAAUAUGCAUAUGAAGGAGAGAUCAUUCUAAUUGAAUGGAAAAUAUGAAAUUAAAAAGGCAACAAAGUAUAAAUAAUUGAAAAUCAGGUUGCAGCUCUGAGCUUCUGUAUGUCGGGAGCUCAGUUGCAAACAAAAUUGGUCGAAUGGUAAUUCACAUUUUUCUUGCUCUUAAUUUUCCUUUCAUGGUACCAUACUCCUGGUAUAGGGAGCAAGGCAGUGAAAAUGAUAAAGGGGUAAUUAAAUAUCUGUAGGAAAGUAAGAGCCAAACCAGAGACUAAUUUUCAGCACUCUACAGCUUUCAUUAUGUAUGUAUAUGCUUUGAUUUCUCGUGUAUAUGGAAAA